UACAGAGGUCCCAAGCGUUGUUCGGAUUCAUUGGGCGUAAAGGGCGCGUAGGCGGCUUGGCAAGUGGAAGGUGAAAUCCCUCGGCUUAACCGAGGAACUGCCCUCCAAACUGCUUGGCUUGAGACCGGGAGAGGUGAGUGGAAUUCCCAGUGUAGCGGUGAAAUGCGUAGAUAUUGGGAGGAACACCAGUGGCGAAGGCGGCUCACUGGACCGGUACUGACGCUGAUGCGCGAAAGCGUGGGGAGCAAACGGG
rnacentral:rRNA from 1 species